UCGUCGUCGGAGAGGGAGGGUCCCGCUGCCGUCGCCGCCCGGCCGGUGCCGGUGCAAUCAGCCUGGAGAAGGGAUGGGAUUGACCCCGGGUCUCCCCACAGCAAGCCGGCGCUGAGGACCCGGGUGUUGGUGGUCGGUGAUGGUGGCUCCCGCUCUCGUGUAUGAAGGAUGGAAUAUGUCCGCUCUCUGUAUCCAGACAGUGAAGAGUGAUAAGAGUUAUGAGGAUGUCCACCCUUGAUGGAUUAAAUGUGAAACAGAGAAAACUUGCACAACUGAAUCGUGGAGAGAUAACUUCAGUUAAUCAGAAAUCUGCCGUCGUAUGGAGAACUCAUUCACCCAUGACGCUAGGUAAACGGGGCAUUAGCACAUACAGUUUGUUACAGGUGUUUUUCUCCUGUGUGGUAAAGUAUAUGACAAAAACUUACAACUCUAAUCAUUUUUAAGUGUACGGGUCAGUGGCAUUAAGUACAGUCCCAUUGUUGUACAACCAUCGCCUGCAUCCAUCUUUUCGUCAUCCAGAACUGAAACCCUGUCCCCAUCACACAGCAGCCCCUGCUCCCCCGGCCCCGCCCCAGCAACCACCAUCUGACUGCUGUCUCGUGGAUUCGACAACUCUGGCUACAUCACAUAAGUGGAAUCACACAGCAGCGUCCUUUUGUGACAGGCUUAUUUCAUGUGACAGACUUUUAAACUAGUAAUCCUCAUUUGCUCUCCUUUAUAUUUAAUAUUCUCAUUCCUCUCGCUGGAUUACCAGCCCUUUAAACGUGAUGGUCUGAGGGAUUGAACCUCUGUGUAGCGUGGCACCUGGAGUUCCGAAG
rnacentral:lncRNA from 1 species